GAGUUUGAUCGUGGCUCAGGAUGAACGCUGGCGGCGUGCUUAACACAUGCAAGUCGAACGGAGAUUACUUUGACAGAGACUUCGGUUGAAGUCGUUGUAAUCUUAGUGGCGGACGGGUGAGUAACGCGUGGGUAACCUGCCUUAUACUGGGGGAUAACAGCCGGAAACGGCUGCUAAUACCGCAUAAGCGCACGGGGACGCAUGUUCCUGUGUGAAAAACUGAGGUGGUAUAAGAUGGACCCGCGUUGGAUUAGCUUGUUGGCAGGUAGCGGCCUACCAAGGCGACGAUCCAUAGCCGGCCUGAGAGGGUGAACGGCCACAUUGGGACUGAGACACGGCCCAGACUCCUACGGGAGGCAGCAGUGGGGAAUAUUGCACAAUGGGGGAAACCCUGAUGCAGCGACGCCGCGUGAAGGAAG
rnacentral:rRNA from 1 species